ACUUAACAAAAUAUUAGGUAUCUCCAAGCUUAGUUAUAACUGAAAUAUCAAAGGAAUACUCUAAGAUCGAAAUAAAUGCUAUUGUAUACUACUUAGAUGUAUGUUAAAAGUUUGACGUCUCAAAUCUAGUGUACAACAAAAUCGGAGUUUUAAUCAAUUUUGAAGAUGAGGGUACAUUCUGUAAAAGUGGACAGGUGAAGGACUGCAUAGUCAAACAAGAACAAUGAUACAAAAAGGACCUACAUUUAUAUGCUCGUUCCACGAUAAAACUAGCAUAGUUGAAGAUUGGAAAUACGGUUCGAGGUAUGACAAGGAAAUAACUUUAAGAAGAGUUGGAGAUCCAUAAAUACCAACACAAAUGCACAAAUAUGAAUACAGAAAGCAUUUUAAAAAAGAUCUCUGGUUGUAAAUUAGUGCAUUUAGCAUUAAAAUCUGGAGGCAAUCCUCCUUCAUCUUGUUAUCUACAAUCAACACUGUUUCUGCCAAAUACCUGCUGGUGGCAGCACUAACAUAUAUUUUUAUAACUGGAGAACCUGUUAAAGAUGAUGAUAUGUGGAAUUUUCUCACCUAAACUGGUCUCCUAAAAGAAACAGAUAAUGCAGGAUGCAAAAUAAUUACUAAGCAAUCAUAUCUAAAGUGUACCAAGGAAUUUGAAUGACAUCCAAAUAACUGGCUUGAACAAUACCAAGUGUGCACAGUAACAGUUUAUAAUUGGACUCUAUUAGUCAAAAGUUAUCAAAGAAAAUAAAGUUUACUAGUUCUGAA